rnacentral:rRNA from 1 species
UCGGGGUACACGAGCGGCGAACGGGUGAGUAACACGUGAGCAACCUGCCCCCGACUCCGGGAUAAGCGGUGGAAACGCCGUCUAAUACCGGAUACGACCGGCCACCUCAUGGUGGCGGGUGGAAAGUUUCUCGGUUGGGGAUGGGCUCGCGGCCUAUCAGCUUGUUGGUGGGGUAAAGGCCUACCAAGGCGAUUACGGGUAGCCGGCCUGAGAGGGCGACCGGCCACACUGGGACUGAGACACGGCCCAGACUCCUGCGGGAGGCAGCAGUGGGGAAUAUUGCGCAAUGGGCGAAAGCCUGACGCAGCGACGCCGCGUGGGGGAUGACGGCCUUCGGGUUGUAAACCUCUUUUACCACCAACGCAGGCUCCCGGUUCUCCGGGGGUUGACGGUAGGUGGGGAAUAAGGACCGGCUAACUACGUGCCAGCAGCCGCGGUAAUACGUAGGGUCCGAGCGUUGUCCGGAAUUAUUGGGCGUAAAGAGCUCGUAGGCGGCGUGUCGCGUCUGCUGUGAAAGACCGGGGCUUAACUCCGGUUCUGCAGUGGAUACGGGCAUGCUAGAGGUAGGUAGGGGAGACUGGAAUUCCUGGUGUAGCGGUGAAAUGCGCAGAUAUCAGGAGGAACACCGGUGGCGAAGGCGGGUCUCUGGGCCUUACCUGACGCUGA